ACCUGUGGCCAUGCCUCCCUGAGCACACCCAAGCUUGGAAGCUAAGGAGGGUUGGGUCUGGUUAGUACUUGGAUGGGAGAACACCUGGAAAUACCAGGUGCUGUAAGCU
rnacentral:rRNA from 1 species